rnacentral:snRNA from 1 species
GUGGCACUCAGGUAGCACAUAUACUAAAAUAGGAGCAAUACAGAGAAAAUUAACAUGGUCCUUGCAAAAGGAUAACAUACAAAUUCAUGAAGUACUCCAUAUUAUU